rnacentral:rRNA from 1 species
CCUACGGGUGGCAGCAGUGGGGGAUAUUGCACAAUGGGGGAAACCCUGAUGCAGCGACGCCGCGUGGGCGAAGAAGUAUUUCGGUAUGUAAAGCCCUAUCAGCAGGGAAGAAGAAAUGACUGUACCUGUGUAAGAAGCACCGGCUAAAUACGUGCCAGCAGCCGCGGUAAUACGUAUGGUGCAAGCGUUAUCCGGAUUUACUGGGUGUAAAGGGGGCGCAGACGGGAGCGCAAGCCAGGAGUGAAAGCCCGGGGCCCAACCCCGGGACUGCUCUUGGAACUGCGCGGCUGGAGUGCAGGAGGGGCAGGCGGAAUUCCUGGUGUAGCGGUGAAAUGCGUAGAUAUCAGGAGGAACACCGGUGGCGAAGGCGGCCUGCUGGACUGCGACUGACGUUGAGGCGCGAAAGCGUGGGGAGCAAACAGGAUUAGAUACCCUUGUAGUC